rnacentral:lncRNA from 1 species
AUUCUAUUAUUCCAAAAGCAGUUGUAAGAUAAUCCUACAGAUACUGUUUGACUUAUAAUCACUGUUUCAUGACAACUGCUUUUGGAAUAAUAGAAUAAUAAUAGAAAGUUUUGUGAAAUGCUGGCCUUGCAUAUAUCUUAGAAUGCAAAUUUAAUAAAGUGUGUACAUGCAUAAAAAAAAAAAGAUUACAAAUGCAUGGGAAUCAUAGGGCCACUUUGAGAUUCACCUCCAUCCUCUCCAUUUUUCUUCCUAUUCUACUUCACUUCCUCUUUCUUUUUCCUGCUGGUUUGUGAGAGAAGUCAUGAUAGAUCUCGAAGUUCCAUACAAAAUAAGAACAAUCUAGCAAGAAAAAGAAUAAACUAUCUCUCCCCUCGCUGUCUUUUAGAAUUAUGUUUGUAUCCAGGUGAGCUACAGGAGGACUAAUUUAUCUCUCUAGCUGCUGCUCUACCAGCCAAGUUCAUCAUUCACGCAUUAGAGAGCUGAA